rnacentral:rRNA from 1 species
GCUAGUAAUGGCAGGUCAGCAUACUGCCGUGAAUACGUUCCCGGGUCUUGUACACACCGCCCGUCACACCAUGGGAGUCGGAAAUGCCCGAAGUCAGUGACCUAACCGAAAGGGAGGAGCUGCCGAAGGUGGAGCCGGUAACUGGGGUGAAGUCGUAACAAGGUAUC